UGGGGAAUUUUGGACAAUGGGCGCAAGCCUGAUCCAGCCAUGCCGCGUGUCUGAAGAAGGCCUUCGGGUUGUAAAGGACUUUUGUCAGGGAAGAAAAGGGCGGGGUUAAUACCCCUGUCUGAUGACGGUACCUGAAGAAUAAGCACCGGCUAACUACGUGCCAGCAGCCGCGGUAAUACGUAGGGUGCGAGCGUUAAUCGGAAUUACUGGGCGUAAAGCGGGCGCAGACGGGUACUUAAGCAGGAUGUGAAAUCCCCGGGCUCAACCUGGGAACUGCGUUCUGAACUGGGUGACUAGAGUGUGUCAGAGGGAGGUAGAAUUCCACGUGUAGCAGUGAAAUGCGUAGAGAUGUGGAGGAAUACCGAUGGCGAAGGCAGCCUCCUGGGAUAACACUGACGUUCAUGCCCGAAAGCGUGGGUAGCAAACA
rnacentral:rRNA from 1 species